GUAGGAAGAUAAUUCACUUCUUUAGGAGGACAUGUCAAAAUGUCCUGAGGGUUCAGUGACUUAGAGAUGACUUCUUAGAUGAAAGAGUUCUUGAGCUGAUAACUGAAGGGGUAGUACAAGCUAACUAGGUGAAGUGCCUUUCAAGGGUGAAUAACAUGUGUGUGGAGCAAGGGAAGCAUGAUGCAUUACGGCAGAGCAUUCUGGUUAGGGUGCCGAGGUCCAUGAAGGUGGCGGGAGGUGGGCCGAGACCCAAGUGCUCAUUAUGUCUGAACACAAGAGUCAUAUGUUUUCCCCAGUGCAUCUUACGAAUACCAGUAUUCCUCUAUAUUAUCAAAAAGGUUAGGAAAUACUGCAUCAGGGAAACUAAAAGGUAAAAUGAGAUGAGUUAAAAUUAUGGUUGAGAAAAGAGACUGGAAGAUCAUGCAGGGGACUUGAGAUUUGGAUCUUAAUCCUAAAAGCAACUGUCGGCUACUAAUAUCCUGUGUGCCCUUGGCUGAAUCCCAUUCUCUUUUUGGACUUCAGUUUCUGCUUCAAAGGUGUGACAGGAUAAUCUGUUUCCUUUCUGCUCUGAUAGCUCUGAUUUUUCUCAUACUCCUGCGAUUUUCGUUUUCUUUUCUUUUCUUUUUUUUUUUUAAACUCACAUAAAGGUUUGCUCUGAAGAAGCUGUGUCUUUGGAGUAUUUUCCAGGAGCUUGUCCUGAGGGUUUUGCUAAGUUACUUGCUGGCUUUUUCCAAGGUGAUUUCUGCAUCCAGGUGGAGAUGGAGCUGUCCUGCUUGCUGAUAAUAAGUUGUGAUUUCACAUGACUUGUUAUUGCUGCUCUUUAUCCACCUCCUGCCUUGGCCUCAGGAGCUUGAGUUCCCCACGCCUUCUCAUUCCAAAUAUAGCAACUCCUAAUUCACAGUUAUUUUUGCUGUUAGAGGAAGAGAAGUGGCAAAACUCAAAACUAUCUUGUGGGUGGGAAAUCCAAGUUCCGUUUUGCAUUGCUACUUCUCUUGGCUCAUUUUGGACCACUGUUGACAAACACAUUCCCUUCAAGAAAACCACCCCUUUUUGUAGAUGAUACUAAUUUCCAGAUUUCCAGAAAUGUGUGAUCACCAUUCAAGGCCACUUUCCUACCUCCUGUCUAACAUUUCUGACUAAGUAGCCUGCACAUUUCAGACAUCACACACUGGUAAUAGAGAUUGUGGUACUUAGAGAUGUGAUGCUGGAAUUCUUAGAAAAAUCUGUGGGAGAUCCAGGGGACUUCUGGGCAGUAUAUGUGAAUGUGAGUGGACAGAAGUACUUUAUCUUCUAGGAACUCCUGAGAACUGAGAAAUGACUGUUUAAUGAACAAAGAGAGAAGUGACAAUGAGACUGCCCUGUCCAGAGACUCCCAAAUAAAGAAGGAGAUGGUAGUCUGAAAGGGACAGAAUGAGAGAGGGAGCUGGAGAAAGAAAUGAAUAAACACGAAUGCAUCUGGAGAAUGAGGCAUCUUGGAAUCUGGAAAGUGAGGCAUCCUGGAAGAGAGAUGAAGGUUCAAGCUCCAAGAUGUCCAGAACCAAACGCGAAGAAGAAUUAAUGAAAUGGAUAUAUGCAAAACUCGUCAAGAUUCUCAUUUGGCUACAGCAAAUUAUUUGGCGAGUUGAAAGUUUAGUUGUGUUAAUGAUAUGCUACACCUUCUAUACCUGUAAUGUGCCAAAAAUAACUGAACACUUUAGAUUUCUCUUUAAAUCCAGUAAUAAUCCAUUAAAGAGAUAAAGGUGCCAAUGUGCAGGCAAGUAAACCACAUUGCCAAGUAUACAAGCUAAUACAUUUCCCAGGAUGGAUUUAGAGUUUCCUAUUUCAAGCAAAAUUUACAGAAAGUUAAAUGCACAAAUCUUCAGUGCACAAUUACACGAGUUUAGCAACUAUAUACAUCCAUGUAAACAACACUAUCAUGAUGCAGAACAUUUUUAUCACCCAGGAAAUUACUUCAUGUCCCCUUCCAGUCAAUCCACUCUCCACAGGAAACAACUAGAGUUCUGAUUUUUAUCAUUAUGUACUAGAACUUCACAUCUUAGGAAAUCAUAUAGUGCUGUCUCAUUUGUUUCUUGCUAGUUUAGGCAGUAUCAUUUUUUUGAAAUCCAUUCAUAUUGUUCCAUGUUAUCAGUAAUUUGUUACCUUGAUGUAGCUGAGGAGUAUUCCAUUAUAUGAAUAUACCACAACUUAUGUACCCAUUGUACUCUUGACAUUGGCUAUUGUUAGUAAAGCUUUUGGCUAUUUACUAGUAAAGCUGCUAUAAACAUGCUCAAGUCUUGUUGUAGAAACAUUUUCAUUUCUCAUAGGUAAAUAGUCAGGGAUGGAAUUUCUGAGUCACAACAGAGGUAUAUGCUUAACUUUAUGAAAAUCAUCAAGCUGUUUUCCAAACUGGAUGCUCCAUUACCUACUUCUCUGAGUAAGAUCUGGGAGUUCCACUUACUCCACAUCCUCACCAACAUUUGUUGUUGCCACAACGAAGUGGUGCAAUAGUUUAUUUUUAUUUUCGUUUACAUUUCUCUGAUGAUUAAUGAUAUCAAGCACAUUUUCAUGUGCAAUUCACCAUUUUUUUUAAAUGUCCAAAACUUUCAUUCAGUUGUAAAAAAAAACAACAGUAUCUUUUUAUUAAUGGUUUGCUCUUGUUCUGGGUGAAGUUCAUCAUCGAAUAUAUAUUGCUAAUAUUUUUUCCCACAUUACAGCUAAACUUUUAAUUUUCUUUUGAUGGGCAGAGAAUUUUUGUUGUUUUAUUUUUGUGAAAUCCGAUUUAUUGCUUUUUUGCAGCUAGUGUUUUUUCUUUCAUCUCUAUAAAAUCUUGCCUAGCCUAAGAUUGUAAUAUAGUCUUCUGUGUUUUUUUUCUUCAUAAAACCUUUACAGCUUUAGCUUUUAUAAUUGAAUCUAUAAUUUAUCUACAUUAAUUUUGUGAAUAUUGUGAAUUGUGGCUAAGAAGAUUCAUUAUUUCCAUGGUUAUCUAGUUAUUCCAGCACUGUUUGUUCAAAAAGACUUUCCAUUGAAGUGUCUUUGAGCUUUUAUUGAAAUUAACUGACUAUGUGUGUAUUGAUUUCUUUCUGAGCUUUACUUUGUCCCAGGGAUCAGCUUGUAUAACCUUAUGCUAAUGCAAUACUAUCUUGAUUAUUGUGGCUUGCUGCAGGUCUUGAUAUAAAGUAAUAAUAUAAUUUAUCUGAAUUUGUUCUUUUUCAAGAUAGCUUUGGAAGUUCUUUAUUUCUUGUAUUUUCAUAUAAAUUUUAGAAUAAACUUGUGUAUUUCCACCAAAAAAAUGCAAAUUUCAUUUAGUUUGUAAUUAGGUCUAAUCAAACCAUAUUAAAUCUUCCAGUUCAUUAACAUGUUCUCUAUCUUCAUAAACUUGGGUCUUCUUUAAAUCUCUGAGGAAUAUGUUAGAAUGUUUAGUAGAGUUUCUGUAUCUUUUUGGGUAGUGCAGAGGGGGGCAUAAAGAAAGAAUGGUUAAUGGGUACAAAAAUACAGUUAAAAAGAAUAAGAUCUAGCAUUCAGUAGUACAAUAGCACAACUACAGUUAAUAAUUUAUGGUAUAUUUCAAAAUAACUAAAAGGGUGGAAUUGAAAUGUUCCUAACACAAAGAAAUGAUAAAUAUUUGAGGUGAUAGCUACCCUAAUUUGAUCAUUACAUGUUGUAUGCUUGUAUCAAAAUAUCACAUAUGCCCAUAAAUGUGUAUAACUCUUACGUAUCCAUAAUUAAAAUUUGUUAAAUAUAUAUGGUCUGUUUAUGCUAUUAUAAAUGGUAUAUUUACAUUUUCCAAAUGUUUGC
rnacentral:lncRNA from 10 species